GUUGAAGAACGCAGCGAAAUGCGAUAAGUAGUGUGAAUUGCAGAAUUCCGUGAAUCAUCGAAUCUUUGAACGCACAUUGCGCCUUCUGGUAUUCCGGAAGGCAUGCCUGUUCGAGAGUCAUUAACAACCGUUUCGAUCCCUUUCUUUCAGAAAUUACAAAGAGGAAAAGGGUUUGGUUAUGGUGGAGGAGGGAAAGGGAGCGUUUAGCCUGUAAAAAAAGAGGCUGUGUUCCGCCUCCCCCCCAAAAUUGUACAGGCGGUCGUGUGCGCCCACGCAUCGAGGUGUUGUAAAAGCUGCCACGGCACUUUUCACCUGUGCAGUGCGAGAUUGGCCAGCCGGUUUAAAAACCCCUCCAAACAAUCAAAGGUUGACCUCGGAUCAGGUAGGGAUACCCGCUGAACUUAAGCAUAUCAAUAAGCGGAGGA
rnacentral:misc_RNA from 1 species